GAGGAAUACCGGUGGCGAAGGCGGCCCCCUGGACGAAGACUGACGCUCAGGUGCGAAAGCGUGGGGAGCAAACAGGAUUAGAUACCCUGGUAGUCCACGCCGUAAACGAUGUCGACUUGGAGGUUGUGCCCUUGAGGCGUGGCUUCCGGAGCUAACGCGUUAAGUCGACCGCCUGGGGAGUACGGCCGCAAGGUUAAAACUCAAAUGAAUUGACGGGGGCCCGCACAAGCGGUGGAGCAUGUGGUUUAAUUCGAUGCAACGCGAAGAACC
rnacentral:rRNA from 1 species